UGGCUCCAUCGUGGGCUUAAGAAAUGAUACGGGGUGCAUGACAUCCACGUUACUGAGAGCUCUGUUUUCCUUUUUCCGAAGACUUUGUCUAUAGUGUAUGUCUGUGUUUGUGUGAGUUUUUUCUUUUUGUGCGCAAUAACCCUGAGGAAAAGUUCAGAUGUGAAGGAGGAAGAGAACUCCCCUGAGAGCUGAUAAGUUCCACUAACAAAAACAGAAGUUCUUUCAAUGUCCAGGUGCGAGUGAUCAGUGCUGGAGUUGUUGGAACUCAGGGUGGCCAUGUUUAAAGGCUGCAGUGUCUGAUGGGAAAUGGAGUUUGAGUCAUAUUCAUGUCAAGCAUUAUGACUUCUGCAUGCUGCAGGGGAUUUCAAAGCAUGGUUCGUUUCUGGGAUCUGAUUGGGCAGUGAUUAAUUUUCCCCAGCGGCAGCCCUGACAAUAGUCUCAGACUUCAUGACUAUUACCAUAGCACCACUUCAAUCACAAGGACCAGCGCAUCUUAUGAUCAUCAGCUUGAAGAACGAUGGCCCCCGUUUAGAACCUUUUAUCGGGACACUAACAUUUAUUUAACCCUUUCCUCCUGGGGUGAAGAGGACGCUGAGGCCUGAAGGAGACGUCUGGCUCCUUAACCGAUCCUAAUAUCACAUUUCCAAGCUCUUACGUCAGAAUGCAAUACGCACUCAUAAAACACACACACACACACACACACACACACACACACACACACACACCCACUCACAUCACCAUUACAAACACAAGAUCCACGAUGGAAAAGCACAACCUCCAGGGUUACAACAAUACUCGCACAGGCCCGGAGCUCGUUCUCCUACGCAUUCCUGCGCAUGACACACUCUCUGAGUCGGUGUGUAUAAAUUCACGCCUGGGUUCGUCCGACGCCUUCAGCAGAACUACCAGUCUCCUCCCUGUUCUCGUUCUCUCCGCAGGGAGGGACACAUUGAAGGCGAUGCAAGUCGAUUUCAUCAGAGCAGAGAAAGAAUUCUGGAGGGGAAAAAAAAGAGCCACAAGGUUCAUUCAGUGUGCAGUUAAGGGCAAAACUUUGACUCUCCCACACUUCCUCUGGUGGGACGUUCGCUUCUUUUGAUUUCUCAUUCCGUGAGGAACAUAACAGGGCCACGGACACCGAAAUAAAUCGUGAGCCUUCGGUCCAGAGUUGCGGUGCUGGAUAUCACUUAAACAUGCUGGUGUUUUUUUUUCUAGGGAGGAAGAAGAUGGAGCACUUUAUCUAGCUCUGGAGAACGUCUAGCUCACUGUACUCGGUUUGUUCCCACACUGUGGGCCCAAGCAUCAAACGCUCUGUGCCAUUAGCUUAUGUAACACACACAGGCACACACAGGGCUGUGAAUGGAGCGGGACUCGGGUUGAUAGCACAAAUGCUUGGAAAGUGUAGUAAUCUGAGCAAAAAUAACUGCUUUUUAUGUAGUUAGCAUCCUAUUUCUUGAUCACUUGACUGAACUCCAUCCCCUGCUGCUUUACACACAUUAGAUCAGCAUUUUUUUAUGCUAGGCGUAUUAAUUAGCAUACGUUAGUCUAUCAAUCAUACACAUUUUGCACAAAAGUAUUGGGACAUCUGACUUUUCCAGACAUAUGUUGUUCUUCUUCCAAAUGUUCUCACAACAUUCGAGGCACACAAUUGUGUAGGAUGGUCUCUGAAUGUGCUAGCAUGACAUAUUCCCUUCAUUUGAACUAGGAAACCCAAACCUGCUUUAGAAUGACAUUGCCCCUGUGCACUAAACAAGAUCCAUGAAGACUAUGGUUUACAUGCAUUGGAAGUGUGUGGAAGAUCUUGAAUGGUCUGCUUUAGUGCUCAAACUCUAAUGAACACCUUUGGAAUGAAUGGCAAUGCUGACUGCACCCCAGAAGUCCGCACCUCACCUGCAACAGUACCUGACUUACCGGCGUGCUACGUUCCAUAUAUAUAUAUAGCAAACUAUUUUUCAUUAUUUCUGCUUCUCCAACCAUAUUAGCUCAAAUUUUUGUGGCCAUCGCUCCUCUCUCACUCAGUGUAGCACUGGCACUUCACUCGUCCUCUUUUCUUUUGUUUGACUAGGCUCGCUUUUCCACUUGGUGUCCUCUUGUCGGUGUUUGGCCGCACUCCUAAACACCUGUCAGUCCUCUGUCCCUGUGUGAGGUCCACUUUCACAGCCCAUCGAAUGCUCCAUCAUCCAGAACACUCUGGCACAACACUAAACCCCACCACUCACCCCCUCCCUCGUCCAUUCCUCGCCGCAGCUCCCUGUGUUCACCGCAGCUGGCCCCGAGUCCCCGGAGCAUCCACCAUUUGUUUAUAAUUAGCUCUGGCACCUCUUCACUACUUAGAGAGUGAUUGUUUUUUAAAAAGGGGGUCUGCUGAGACUCUUGAUAAAUGGCUGCUCGGUGGCUCAGAGAAAUUUGGAACUCCAGUGCCCACAAUCAGGAAGAGAGGACAUUCCUAGCAAGCCGCGACUGACAGACGCUCUGAUAGAGAAAUAGACAGACACAUAGGCUUCCCCUGGAAUUACUCAAAUGAGCAAGCUUGGAGAAAAAAAGCCUCAGAAGAAGUGUCUGAAGUGUCCAAACCCCAGGAGCAACAACGACCACUUGUUCUCUGGUGAUGCUCAAUUAAUAAGCAGCAGUGUUUAUAUGGAGAAGUGUGAGGUGUAAAUACACUUUGUGUGGUCCCCACGGAGCCGAGGGAAGGCCGAGGCGAUGGCAACCCGUGUUUUAGAGCAGGCUCACGACUGUUUACCGACGAGGACAACAUCCAUGGGAACACAGCGCCACGGGAUUUGUGGAGGAGCCCGAGCAAUUCAUCAUUCAGUAUUUGGGAUAUUUAAUAGGCCUGUGUUUGGAGGAUUUCACACAAGAUGGUGGACGUCAUUUAAUACUUAAUCGGAUAUUUACAGUGCUACAGGAGCAACGCUACAAUUCUACACUUCUAUACUUUCAUACACCUUUUAGACACGUCACAGAGAUUUUUUUUGGAAUAUGUUGUAAAUAUGGUUUCUGAUUUCCUUCAGAUUUUUUUCACGUCAUUCAUUUUUCUUUUGCGUUAUUUUUCUGA